rnacentral:sRNA from 1 species
AAGGAACCGAUUUUGCAAAAAUGCGAGAG